rnacentral:lncRNA from 1 species
CUGAGUCUCACAAGGCAAACAUGCAUGAAGGGGUUUGCCUAAGCCUGAAUCUCACAAGGAAAGAAUACCUGAAAUGUUUUAUCUAAGCCUAGGUCUCACAAGAUAUAUAUGUGUCGCAACCUGAAAAAUACAGUGCACGAAAAAAAACAACCGGCGAAAGAAAAAGACAGAAGAGUCGCCACCGUGCGUUAUUCAUCCCAAAGGAGGGAAAGGAAACGCUCGAAGUAAACCUGAAAAAGGAAAGGACAAGACGGG